GCCCUAGUAGCUUAAUUCUAAAGCCCCGGCCUUGUAAACCGGAAAAUGGAGAUUAAAAUUCUUCCUAGCGCA
rnacentral:tRNA from 1 species